GGUGUUUAAACAUGUUAUGAAGACUGGUGGUGACAACUGUACAUUAACAUCAAAUGAAAUUGACUUUGAAACUGAAGAACUUUUAGUUGGAAGCAAGGCAAGUAAUCACGUGAACAAAUACUGCCGGUCAGAGCUGAAAGGAAAGGAGAGCAUUGUUUGUUCUGGUCACAUGACAAUACAUCGUAAUGUUGAGCAAGACUAAAGGACAAUUGUGAGAUGAAAAGUUUUAAUUAACAGUUCAUAACAACGGCUUAAAUUUUGCUUUCCUUCUUUCCAAUGUGACAUUUUGUCCUAAGGUAAAGCAAGCACUGUCUCGUGCACUUAGAUCUGACGUAGUGAGGGUGUUUUGGAAGUUGUUUUGCAAAACUUUUGUCGUGGCUGAAGAUCCAUAGCAGAAAAAUAUGGUUACCAGUCAGAAUACCGCUGCACUUGUUACAUUGGUUUAUUGUGAAUUCUCCCCAUUGCAAGUUCGGUCCCAAACCCAAAGCAAGUUCGCCUCCACCUUAACUAGUUUACCCCUUUCGACUCGUUUCCUUACAAACGCACUUCUAAUGCACGAGUAAUGCAAAGUCGUGAAACUACUCCAGUCUUAAUCAAACGGGAUUGACAGAAUUUUGUGCCUUUACUCACAGCACUGUUUAAACCUAGUUAUUUUGUCUUUCCUUGGAACUUCAUGCUGACCCAAAAGCUUCAACAGCAUUGCAUAAUAACGCUCUUAACAGGUAGUUUGUUGUUGUAAGGGUGCAAACUCGCAAAGGUCAGUGAUUUGGGGCGAACUUGCAAGGGCCGAAUUUAUCAGUUACCUUCAUAUUGAGCAGUUGCAAAUAGUAUAGCGUCACAAGUACUUUAUAUAUGCUUGCGUUUGGCGUUAUUUGGCUUAUCGUGAAAUAAUUUGAAAUGUGAUUAAAUUGAUAUUUGCUUAUUUGCGCCACAAAAAGACUUAGGAGAUGAGAUGUCUGUGGUAGCCGAGUUUUUGUUCUUUGCCCUUCUUUGAGUAAGAGUACUACAAAAUCUUUCCCAUAGGGGACAUCAAGCGAGAUUUGACUACAACUUUGUAAACCACUAUUAAACGUGGAUGAAUGUGCCUUGAGUGGCGAUUGGUAUACUGUAAAGCGUCCUAAAGUGGGCAAUCGCGGUGAAAAUGUUUCAUGUAGAACGUGGCUUUGAGUCAUGGGCAGUGACGUCAUUCAUCCGCACACAUCUAAUCCCAUUAAAGCAUUUGACCACAUGUUGGCAGUCAUGUUGUCGCCUUUAAGAGGCUACUUAGCGUGAAAAUGGCUUGAAGGGGCGAAGAUUGCUAAUAGGAAGGUCAUAAAAAUGACGAUGAAAUUAACUUAAAUUAAAAAACAAUUGUUGAUAAA